CAAUAGCGUAUAUUAAAGUUGUUGCGGUUAAAAAGCUCGUAGUUGGAUUUCUGCUGAGAACGACCGGUCCGCCCUUUGGGUGUGUAUCUGGCUCUUUCUUGGCAUCUUCUUGGUGAACGUUGCUGCACUUGACUGUGUGGAGCGCUACCCAGGACUUUUACUUUGAGGAAAUUAGAGUGUUUCAAGCAGGCAUACGCCUUGAAUACAUUAGCAUGGAAUAAUAAGAUAGGACCUCGGUUCUAUUUUGUUGGUUUCUAGAGCUGAGGUAAUGAUUAAUAGGGAUAGUUGGGGGCAUUCGUAUUUAACUGUCAGAGGUGAAAUUCUUGGAUUUGUUAAAGCCGGACUACUGCGAAAGCAUUUGCCAAGGAUGUUUUCAUUGA
rnacentral:rRNA from 1 species